GACGGUAACAGCCCGGUAGUUGAAAUAGCUUUCCCUCCAGAGUGGAUCCUGAGUACGGCGGAACACGUGAAAUUCCGUCGGAAUCCGGGAGGACCAUCUCCCAAGGCUAAAUACUCCCUAGUGACCGAUAGUGAACCAGUACCGUGAGGGAAAGGUGAAAAGCACCCCGGAAGGGGAGUGAAACAGUUCCUGAAACCGUGUGCCUACAAGUAGUUAGAGCCCGUUAAUGGGUGAUAGCGUGCCUUUUGUAGAAUGAACCGGCGAGUUACGAUUUGUUGCAAGGUUAAGCGGAAAAAGCGGAGCCGUAGCGAAAGCGAGUCUGAAUAGGGCGCAUAAGUAACAGGUCGUAGACCCGAAACCAGGUGAUCUACCCAUGUCCAGGAUGAAGGUAAGGUAAUACUUACUGGAGGUCCGAACCCACGCACGUUGAAAAGUGCGGGGAUGAGGUGUGGGUAGCGGAGAAAUUCCAAUCGAACUUGGAGAUAGCUGGUUCUCUCCGAAAUAGCUUUAGGGCUAGCCUCGAGGUAAAGAGUCAUGGAGGUAGAGCACUGUUUGGACUAGGGGCCCUUCUCGGGUUACCGAAUUCAGAUAAACUCCGAAUGCCAUGUACUUAUACUCGGGAGUCAGACUGCGAGUGAUAAGAUCCGUAGUCGAAAGGGAAACAGCCCAGACCACCAGUUAAGGUCCCCAAAUAUAUGUUAAGUGGAAAAGGAUGUGGGGUUGCUUAGACAACCAGGAUGUUGGCUUAGAAGCAGCCACCAUUGAAAGAGUGCGUAAUAGCUCACUGGUCGAGUGACCCCGCGCCGAAAAUGUACCGGGGCUAAACAUAUUACCGAAACUGUGGAUGAACCUCUUUAGAGGUUCGUGGUAGGAGAGCGUUCUAAGGGCGGUGAAGUCAGACCGGAAGGACUGGUGGAGCGCUUAGAAGUGAGAAUGCCGGUAUGAGUAGCGAAAGAAGGGUGAGAAUCCCUUCCACCGAAUAUCUAAGGUUUCCUGAGGAAGGCUCGUCCGCUCAGGGUUAGUCGGGACCUAAGCCGAGGCCGAUAGGCGUAGGCGAUGGACAACAGGUAGAGAUUCCUGUACCAGUGCUAAUUGUUUAACCGAUGGGGUGACACAGAAGGAUAGGGAAUCGCACGAAUGGAAAUGUGCGUCCAAGCAGUGAGUGUGAGAAGUAGGCAAAUCCG
rnacentral:rRNA from 1 species